rnacentral:misc_RNA from 1 species
GAAAAACCUGAAGCAUUUCUUGAAUAGUCUUUGCUGACUCAAAAGCCUCUUCAAGUUGUGAUCUUUCUCUAAUCUUUCUCUGUCUUGAAGACAACUGAGAUGGGUUUUGCUCCACAAGUGUGUUGAAACUUUGGGAUUGCUGUAUUUUGAAAUUGGAUAAAUGUAAAAAUUGAGUCUUGCUGCAAGAUUUGAGAUGGGUGUUUGAUAAUUGAGGGGAAAUUUGUUGAUUUCCAUUGAUGGGGUUGGUGCUGGUGGUAGGGAGAGAAGAAAAGUGGGAGAUUAAGUCUUUAGAAAUGAGAGAGAAUGAAGUUUUG